rnacentral:rRNA from 1 species
CGUCCAGACUCCUACGGGAGGCAGCAGUGGGGAAUCUUGCACAAUGGGCGAAAGCCUGAUGCAGCGACGCCGCGUGGGCGAAGAAGGCCUUUGGGCCGUAAAGCCCUGUCGGGAGGGAAGAAGGAAGCGACGGUACCUCCCAAGGAAGCCCCGGCUAACUACGUGCCAGCAGCCGCGGUAACACGUAGGGGGCGAGCGUUAUCCGGAAUCAUUGGGCGUAAAGGGUGCGUAGGCGGCCUUUUAAGCGCGGGGUGUAAGGCGGUGGCCCAACCGCCGUUCGCCCCGCGAACUGGAGGGCUAGAGUGUCGGAGAGGGAAGCGGAAUUCCUAGUGUAGCGGUGAAAUGCGUAGAUAUUAGGAGGAACACCAGUGGCGAAGGCGGUCUGCUGGACAGCAACUGACGCUGAGGCGCGAAAGCGUGGGGAGCAAACAGGAUUAGAUACCCUAGUAAA